rnacentral:misc_RNA from 1 species
UCGCUAUUGGCCUCCCUCCAAAGUGUCCAACACCAUAUAUGAUCCAAAUGCAGAAAAGCAUACUGCUGAAAUAGCUUGAUGCAUUGCCCUCUUCUUGCAGAGGGAGGAUGUCAGAUAACUUAUUCAUCCUGAUGGUGAUUUGAUAAAGCAUUUUGCAAUCUUCUGAUUCAUUAUGGAGCAAUUGUGAAUACGUAGAUCUUUUUCAUCAUGGUCAUCAAUCAGUUUGUAUGCUUCUAGAUCGCUCAACUGCAUCACCGAUGCAUUCUUUACUGAAAGCAUCUUUUCAAAAUCUUGCAAAACAAGAAAUUGGAAAGACAAAAAAAAAAAGGAACAAAAACACAUUUCUUUUCAAAAUCUUGCAAACAAGAAAUUGGAAGAGGAAAAAAAAAAGGAACAAACAGACAUUUCUAGUUCUGUAUCAUCUUGUAUUGUUCAUUUGUGUUGGGAAAUUGAGAUGCACCUACAGGCUGUAGAUUUGAGGUGUGGAGAACUACAGGCUGUACGCUUCUAAUUCUUUAUGUGGAAGUUUAUUGCACUGGCCGUAGUGCUGAUAUGGUUUUCAUUGCUGUGGUUAAGGAGUGGAGGAAGCUUUGUGAUAUAAGUUCAGGUGGUGUGGUAUUCUUGAAGACUGCACGACUUGAUACCAUCGGUAGGGCAGAAGGGGAGACUCAUCCUUAUUUUAGGUCUCAUCCAGGUGGCUUAGGAUCUGCAGGAGCUUGUAACUGAUUAAUAGUAGUGGAAUUUGUUUUGUUUGAUAAAUAAAAUCAAACUUUAUCUCGAAUUGUUGCUUUAAUCUUUAAAUGAAUUCUUGAACUUGUACUAUUCAACUUUUGUUGUCGGUAAAACAUAAAUUAGUCUUAACAA